CAAGAGCCGAACCGAGAAGCCUACCAUGCGCUUCCCCGUGCGGAUUCGCGGGAGAGCCCAAUCGCGGGGCGAGCCGGACCGGCCGCGAUCAUUUAUAAUCCCGGACUCCUCCGCGCCGCCACUUGUCAAGAUGACAGGGUGGGCAUUUCAGGUCAGCUGAGUCACCCGAGGAGGUGGGAGUGCAAGACACUGCAGGGAAGAUAGAUUUCGAGGCAGAAGGGUGUAAUUAAGGAUUUCCACCCCCCGGUAGGCGGCCCGUCCUUCACAGAGCCUCUGAAAAUGACCUGCGCCUUCCCUUCUAGAGUGUCCUCUCGUCCGAGGCUGAGAAGUGUAAAUGACCUUCGGGCAGGGAAAGUCUGAGUCUCUAAAUACUCAGGUUUCAUCAGCAGCCCCGACGCGGCUCUGCCGGAGAACAAGUGUCCACCCUGGGGUUUCGGCUCCAGGACUUGCUGCAAACGCGCCCCGGUCCGGGCACGGAUUCUGGAGUCCUCCAGAGGUUGCACAAUCCGCAAUCAUUCUCUCUCUCUCUCCCUCUUCUCCCCUCAAAUUAGCAACCGAAGGCCACCCCUGCCUUAACGAUGCUUGCUCUGGGAAGAAAUAAAAAAAGUUUACUGCGGUGCA